CAGCAGCCACGGUAAUACGUAGGUGGCAAGCGUUGUCCGGAAUUAUUGGGCGUAAAGGGCUCGCAGGCGGUUUCUUAAGUCUGAUGUGAAAGCCCCCGGCUCAACCGGGGAGGGUCAUUGGAAACUGGGAAACUUGGGUGCAGAAGAGGAGAGUGGAAUUCCACGUGUAGCGGUGAAAUGCGUAGAGAUGUGGAGGAAUACCAGUGGCGAAGGCGACUCUCUGGUCUGUAACUGACGCGGAGGAGCGAAAGCGUGGGGAGCGAACAGGAUUAGAGACCCCAGUAGUCCCUGUCUCUUAUAC
rnacentral:rRNA from 1 species